CAGAGAGAAUCUGGGGUGUCAAUGUAAUGAAGGGCAGAUGACCAAUGGUAACGGAAUUUGACAUUGUCUGCCCAUGAGCACACGCUCGCUAAGUCAUUCUCCGCAUGGCAGAAGUUGCUUCAGAGCAUCUGCAGCAGCUUCACUCAACCGAGACUGAGCGAUUCUGCAAACUAUGAAGUGCCCAUCAGUUCCCCAGCCUUGAAUCACUGGAAGGAGAAG
rnacentral:misc_RNA from 1 species